ensembl:lncRNA
CUCUUCUCCCUCCCUUCGACGUUAGCGUCACCCAGUGAGGCACAAGGCGCUCGGAAGACUCGAGCCAACAUGAAUUAAUAGAAGAGCGAAACGUUUCCAAAGCCCGCGCCGUCCCCUCAGCUCCCACUCCCGCCAUGGGACAGCAAUGGGACGGUGCGACAGCCGUAGGGGAGUGGUCGGACGGUUAGAUGCCCAGACUCGGAGGGACUCGUCGAGGUGUUCAGGGGGAACAGGUCGGGCGACAGUCAGCGCCUGGGCAGGUGUAGGGCCCAAGCCACGGAAGUUGGGGGGAGGGGGUUAUCCCUCCCCGCGACAUCCAUCAUCCAACACGUCUGAAGUGAACAACUCGGUUUCAGUUCAGGCCACUGCUCUCCCGGAGCUCGCUGUCUACCUGGGGGAACACUGCAUCCGAUGAGCAUGCUUUCAAAGUGCUUUGAAGCAUGAAGAAAAUAACUGGCACGGCGCUGUGAUGGGGAGGGGAGGCGGAUAGUGUUACAUGCCGGCCAAAGGCAGCCUUUGCUGGCGUUUGGGGUGGGAUCUGAGUGAGAAAAGGCUGGCCGCGGAACGGCAGGCAAAAGGGGGUCACGGGGAACCCCGGGUAGCUCGCGGAGCCUCGGAACUUGCGGCUCGUUGGGUUAAGCCGCCCGGCGGGACGAGAAGUAGUUCCGGCUCGGCGCCCGGCCCCGCCCCUGCAGGGCGGAGGGACGCAUCACGCAGGGGUGGGGAAGCCGGAUCCAUGCGCAGGGUUGCUAAGGGUGAAACUUUUCAUUGACUUUGCUCACUUUGGGCCGGGGCGCCGGAAGGUACGGGUCGUUGCCGGAGAGAAGUGAGUGGCUCGGGCAACGCGGGGCCAGAAGGGCAGGACCGCCCGCUGGCUAGAGCCCGGACCGUCCUCCGCCCCGCGACACCAGCCGCCCUCCGGCGAGACAUCCCCGCGCCGUCGCCGCCAGCCGUCCCGCCCGCCUUCCGUCCCCCUUUGGCAGAGCCUGACCUCCAAAAAGCUGAAAGAAGUAUUAUUGAGAGUCAUAGCCCCAAAUUCCCUUACUUGCCCCCAGCUCUCAGUGAAGAAAAGGACCCAUCAGCCUCCGGCCCGGCGACGCCCGGGAAGGAAGAAAGAACGACCACCGCACCGCGCCCGGGAACACCCUGGAGGGAGAAGCCACCCGGCGGCCGGACGACCGCCCCGCUGCCGCGGAGACCCGACUUUGCUGGACGCUGCACGUUGCUGUCGCGCCCCCACCCUGACGACUGGCCAACAUUUCCCUUUCUCCGUCCACCUCCCCUGUGGAACCCCCCUCCCCUUUCUCCUGGUGCUCCUCUCCUCUCCAGGCUCGGAGUGUGGCCCCCUCCUGGGUGGGGUGCAUGUCCUCCCCUCUCCGCUUCCCUCGUUCUUCAUAUCGUGGAGACUCGCUAGAUUUUCCCCUCCCAACCCCCCAAAACAAAACUUCCACCACCAUUAAAUAAAUCAGGAAGGAAGGGGACCCAGGCCUUGUUUUUCUGCCUCUUUUCCCGUGUGUGGGGAAGGGGGUGGUCAUAAUUAAUAGGGUUUAUUUCUGGGCCUGUGGAGCUGAGAGGUGGGAGGUGGACAUCCCCUUUUGGACCGGGCAGUGGUGACUGCCCCCGGCCGCUGAACCAGAAUUCACCAUUUUGGCUUGAGCUCUUUAUCCUCUUUAGUGUUUUAAGGGAAAACCGUGCGCGGGGGGCGGUGGGGGGUGCAGGGACUACCUUUACACCAGUACCAAGUGAGUAGAUUCUGGUUGAUCCUGGUGAGAUGCCUGGGAGGAAGAGCCUACUUUUAAGCUCCUUCCCGUCGUGUCCAGAGGAUGGACUAUGCCCUUGACCAGAGAGGGGGAGGAGGGGCAGCUGGCAGGCCUUUUCCCACCCCGCAGAGGAACCAGAACCCUACACAGCAGGCUUCGGGUUGGGCCAGCGGAGGGGGUCUCUGGUGCCUGCUCAGUAUCUAACCUCUUUUUUUUUCCUCCCUCCUGUCCACCCUACCCUGGGAGUUUGUCCCUCAUCUUUGACUUUCCAGCAGAAAAGCACUGCUAUUGCUUUCUUGGGCGCCUGCCCCCAUCCCCCUCUUAAGCAGUGGGAGAAAGAAGCUUGUGUGGGAGGGAGGAUUAGGGAGGUUUAACACUGUUGGGGAGCUUUGCCGAGGAUCUGGUAAGUCUGGUCAUAGAGCAGGCCUGGCAACGGGAGGGAACUCACAAACAAUUUCAAGUAUUAGAAUAUGUUGUUCAGGUGUCAGAUGUACAGUUUUGCCUUCCCUGCCCAGGAACCUUUUCCCAUUUCCCUAGCUGGGUCUAGUUACUCCGAGUUGGAUUAGAAGAGGGGUGAGGCUUGGGCCUCGCUGGCUUGGGGCCUUUUGAUUGUCGGCCCGGCCCCUCCCCUCAGUGUAACUGGGAAUUUCUUUGGCUGAGAGUACAGGAGAACUGGGUUUAGUUCCUGCCUUUCCUGGCUCUGGGGGUGCUGGAGCUGAGCCCGCUGGGCAUUAAGUGAAAAGGCUUUUUUUUUUUUUUCUCUGAAUUCACCGUCCCUACAGCAACUCCAGACGGAGACCACCCAGCCCAAGGAAUACAGAUUAAGCGGCAGUGUUGGGGGGAGGGGGAUGACCUUUAUCUGUCCCAGUCCACCUCCUUCACCCAGAAAAAAAACUCAUUAGAUCUUUAAUUCAACAGUCAUGAGAGGCAGUGAAGAAAAAGAGGAAGGGGUGGGGGGGGGAGAAUUCAGCCUUACUUGAGGCCAAGACGCGAAUACAGCGGGCUGGUACAAUACGAGGAGGAGCAGGCCUUAUGGGUAGAAUUUAUAUAAAAUAUAUUAGGCGGUGGGCGGGGUGGGGGGGGGCGUCCGCCCGAGCGCGCAUGUGCAUCGGAAACUUUUCCUCGGUUCUCCAGACCUCGGGCAGCUCCCCUUACCGGGCAUGCGUAAUUAGCUGGCUGAACCUUCGCAAAGCACGCAGGGAAGUGUAGUGUACACAGAAAGUAGGUCACUUGUUCCAACCUGAGUGUGGGGUUUCUAAGGACUACAAUUCCCAGAAUACAGAGCGCGCCUUCGCUGCCAGCCUGCGUUGGAGUUCAGUGAAGUCUUCCUGGCUUGGAAGAAAGGGCCUUCUUAGUCGCAAGACUUGGACUUGCACGCUCCAUGUUUGAGGGACGUGAUGGAGACUCUGGGUGGGUUGUUGCGGUCAGUCGGCCCACGUUCUGGAAGCCUGUCAGCCAUACCCGCUGGUCCGUGUCACUGCCUCUGGGACUGGCCGGGUGGGGCCAGGCCGUCCCACUGAGCCAGCUCUCCCCAGGGAAUCUGGUUUGUGGCACCUGCAGGCCUUGUCAAAACUGAGGGCCCCUCUUUCUGACUCCUCUUUCCAGACUCUUUUGAAUCUGAUAGUGCUUGGGUUGUAGGACCAUUCAGAUGUUAGGGCUUGAGGUGCCUUGAUAUUUUUAUAGGUUCUCGUGGUUUAGGGACCUGAGGAGUUCCGUCACCAUUUUCCUUCCUUUUCCUCUUUAAAAACAUAGUUGCUUUUCUUCUUAAAAAUCUUCCAUAGCAUAUUUGUCGUAAGUUCUUUUCUGGAAUCUCCAUUCCCACAUCACUGACUGCAGCAGCCGCCUUUCUUACUCCAUUAUUGUACUUAAGCACUCUUCAAAACACAAGUCAGCACAAGGGAUCUGAACCAGAGAUUAAUUUUCCUGUUGGAAAUAAAAAAAAUGAAGAAUAAGAUUCUAACUGAAUGUGGACAGAAUUUACUCUUACAUUUUCAACUUUCUAAUAUAUUGACAAAAAACAGAUUUUGCUAUUGUUAAAACUUAGCAUUGGUUUUGGUUUGGAUUUGGGGGGGGUGUUUGUUUGGGUUUGUUUUUACUUUUACUUUUUGCCACCCUUCUGGCCUUUUGCACCUGAGUGAGGAUUGGAGAAGGUCUUCGAGUCCUUUACCUCUUAACUCAAAUCUACUUCUUGUGUUGAAGAGUAGUUAUUGCCAAGCUUUCUAAUCUUACCAAAUUUUAUGAAUAUUUUCUAUAUAGGCUCUAGAAUUUGUCCAUACCCUUAAAAAAAUGAACAAACUCAUUUGAUUGGUCAUUCUUAUCUUUAAAGACAAGACAGCAUCAGUGCUUUAAUCCUCUGUUCCAUAAGCUUCUUGAAGUCAAAAUUAGAGCCUGAGCUGAUAGAGCAGAAAAUCUCAUUUUGGUUGUCCAGCAUUUUUGAAAGGUUCCACCCCACAGCCAUCUGGCCUGGCCUGUUCUCCAAUUAAAGAGGCAAAGAUGGCAUUAUGUACUUCCUUAUUUGUGUGACAGCAUCACUGAGGUAUAAAUUGGUGUACAGCUUUAGUUGCUUAUGCUGCAGAAAAUGGUUAGCUAGGCAGGGCUGAUGACAGUGGUUCUAUUGUAUUUUGGGGUGGGAGGCUUAUUUCUCAAUGACUUUGGCCUGCAUUUAAAAUGCUCCCAUUUUGGGGCGCCUGGGUGGCUCAGUUGGUUAAGUGUCCGACUUUGGCUCAGGUCAUGAUUUCAUGGCUUGUGAGUUUGAGCCCCGCAUCGGGCUCCGUGCCGACAGCUCAGAGCCUGGAGCCUGCCUCAGAUUCUGUGUCUCCCUCUGUCCUCUCUCUCUCUGCCCCUCCCCUGCUCAUGCUGUUC